AGAGUUUGAUUAUGGCUCAGGAUGAACGCUGGCGGCGUGCUUAACACAUGCAAGUCGAACGGAAAGGCCACAGCUUGCUGUGGUACUCGAGUGGCGAACGGGUGAGUAACACGUGGGUGAUCUGCCCUGUACUUCGGGAUAAGCUUGGGAAACUGGGUCUAAUACCGGAUAUGACCACUUUUUGGAUGGGGUGGUGGAAAGCUUUUGCGGUAUGGGAUGAGCUCGCGGCCUAUCAGCUUGUUGGUGGGGUAAUGGCCUACCAAGGCGUCGACGGGUAGCCGGCCUGAGAGGGUGUACGGCCACAUUGGGACUGAGAUACGGCCCAGACUCCUACGGGAGGCAGCAGUGGGGAAUAUUGCACAAUGGGCGCAAGCCUGAUGCAGCGACGCCGCGUGGGGGAUGACGGCCUUCGGGUUGUAAACUCCUUUCGUCAGGGACGAAGCGUAAGUGACGGUACCUGGAUAAGAAGCACCGGCUAACUACGUGCCAGCAGCCGCGGUAAUACGUAGGGUGCGAGCGUUGUCCGGAAUUACUGGGCGUAAAGAGCUCGUAGGUGGUUUGUCGCGUCGUUUGUGUAAGUCCACGGCUUAACUGUGGGAUGGCAGGCGAUACGGGCAUAACUUGAGUGCUGUAGGGGAGACUGGAAUUCCUGGUGUAGCGGUGAAAUGCGCAGAUAUCAGGAGGAACACCGAUGGCGAAGGCAGGUCUCUGGGCAGUAACUGACGCUGAGGAGCGAAAGCAUGGGUAGCGAACAGGAUUAGAUACCCUGGUAGUCCAUGCCGUAAACGGUGGGCGCUAGGUGUGAGUCCCUUCCACGGGGUUCGUGCCGUAGCUAACGCAUUAAGCGCCCCGCCUGGGGAGUACGGCCGCCAGGCUAAAACUCAAAGGAACUGACGGGGGNCCNCACAAGCGGCGGANCAUGUGGAUUAAUUCGAUGCACNCGAAAAACCUUACCUGGGCUNGACAUACACCANAUCGNCGCAAAAAUGCGUUUUCCCUNGUGGUUGGUGUACAGGUGGUGCAUGGUUGUCCUCCCCCNUGUCCUGAAAUUUNGGUUAAUUCCCCANCGAGCCCACCCU
rnacentral:rRNA from 1 species